GCGCGGGGAAGGGAGCGUGGGUGGCCAUACUGUAACUCGAUUGUAUUCAGUAUUCCAGUAUGUGUGUGUGGGUAGUUGCUGUACAGAAACUCGAUAUUAAUGAAAGAGAGGGGAGAGUUAGUCGAGGGGGGUGUGAGUCGAGAGAGUGAGUGAGUGAGUGUGAGUAGAGAGAGUGAGAGUAGAGGGAAGAGGGCGUCGGGGUACUAUUAGUUUUGUCCCUAAGGAAGAAGGAAGGCAGGCAGGAAGGAAGGAAGGAAGGAAGCGGUGAUGAAUUAUGGCGGCGGGGGAACGAACGAAUGGAAAGGGGCGAAUAAGCCGCCGUUUCGGGAAGCCUCGCCGUUGCCAACCAGAUUCUCCGUCUACUUUAGCAUUACUCUACUACGAUAGUGGCAACUUGCCAGUGCUUUACUUUGGUUUCUUAUUUGUCAAACUCGCAUCCUUUGGACGUACUGUAGUAGUCUAUUGAGUCAAAACUCAACUGAUCAUCGGCGUUGGCGGGGAGAGUCUCGAACCAGAUCCUCUGGAUCCGAGGCAUCUGUGAUCAUGAUUAGUGGCGAGGAAUAGGAUGGUGUCUGCGUAUCUACUACAUACAUACAUACAUACUCUGUAGUAGUACAUACUGUAUGUAGUAUACACUGAACACUACACAGUAAACGCAUUGGAACGAGCAAGCAAGGCGAGAUUGCUUGUCGUCGUAGGAUGCAUGCAUACUGGGUACGUAGUAGAUAUGUAUGCACUAUGCCGCGAUCCAAUGAUUUACAUUCUACAACAAGUAGUCUACGAUAGUGCAAAGAAUCUAGCCAAGCCAUAGCCAAGUCAUUCAAAUUCGGGGACGAGCCACCCAAGUCUAUUUCAGUCUCAGGCUCAGUUAUCUGGGCGCAGAGCAGCGAGUGUAACACAUCAUUACUUUCACUUUUGGUAGGGCAACCGGACAUCAAUGACCAGAGAGCGAGGCGAUCAAAGCGUGUUGGCGCUACAUUUGAAUAUCUGUGGCGGAGAUAUGCUAGAGUAUAGAUUAGUUAAUAACGACCAGGAUUCAUGGGUAGGGCUCCGGCUGGGUAGGGAUGCCAAGGUCUUGUCUGGUCUGGUGCGACCGUGAUUGCCCGGAAAGGAAGUACCUCGGCGUGUGAUCGAUGGACAAGACAAAAGGCAUUUCAGGACAAAACAUUGCAUAAAAUAUCCAUCGGUAGCUAGCAGCUACCUAUCGAGAACUGAGUAUUGACAAUAGCCUACUGAAUAACUAGUCCAUAUCAUAUAUGAGUAGUCACUACGAGCCAAAGAGAUCAAUACUAUGGAGUAACUAUCUCAGAUAAUCCAGAUGCCAUCGACAAACAUCAUAGGCGUGAAGAUCCUCAUUGACCACGAGCACCGAGCGAACCAAUCAGUCGGCCGACAAGCAGACGACGGCACGUUAACCGUUAACGUAAAUGGAUCUAUGCCCGACCGUCGAUCCGGGCCAGUCAGAGCACGCAGAUUACAGAGUAGGCUCCGUCGAGGACGUCAAGACUUUUCUGUUGGCAAGAUAGAAAUUAAGAAUCAUGCAAUACGGAGUCGUUAACUAGUUAAUUACGAUAUAAUAUGAUUGUUAUGAUACAUCCAGACCCAGAGUGACCGGUCACAACGUACUCGAGCGAUCCCGGCAGAACAAUCCAUUCACCUCCAUCUGCUUAUCUUGAACUGCACACCGCUUGUACGUGACUGUGUAGUACGUACUACGUAUGUGGCUAACUAGCGGUUAUGCUGAGAUACAUUCCGAUCCUGCACAACUCAACGCCGGAGCAUGCAAUCUUCAAUCUUCAUGAAAUUGCCUUUUUUUUUGUCUAUUUCCGAGGAGAUCAAUUUGCCGUCUGGAAAGUCGAAACUGGUCCUUCCAGUCCGAUCCGUCUCCAUCUGUCUCCAUCUGUCUCUCUGGAGACAGGGGCCUCACGGGAGAAAUUUCUCAAUCCAGGCAACAGAAGAAGGGCGUUGAGAGUGGCCCUUUCGCACGAGAUGAACAAACACACGACAACCUUCCCUUCUUGAAAACCCUGUCCAAAGUAUAUGGGACGGCCAACCCAAUAAUGACAGUUCCUGUUAUGCGAUGAAAUUCAAUUUGAGUGAGACUACUGAGGAGGAAAAGUGGAUGGAUUCGGAAGACGACCGGAAUAUUCUUUUACCAUUCCAUGGGGAGCCUCCACUCGAGGAGAACGGGCCAACCUUAUUGCCGUGCCGGCUAGUCAUGUCGUUACAGUUCUGCCGGCACAUUUAUCCUACUAGUUAGUUAGUUACAUACGUAGUCUUCCGUAACUAACCAGUAUAUGGAGGAGAUGGAUGUCCUGACACAUGUUGAUAUCCACUCGAUAGCUGUCUUGGGAUAAAUGAUAACAAAAAAGAAAGGAAGAUAGAAGAUACCGAUAAGUCUAUUAUUAUCCGGCCUGGCCGCGCGGGCAACCAAGAAGAAAGCCAUUGGCUGAGUGCGUUGAGGCCUAGCGCGAACCUUGCUGAAUAUCCUCUCCCGAA
rnacentral:lncRNA from 1 species